UACGUAGGGUGCGAGCGUUGUCCGGAAUUAUUGGGCGUAAAGAGCUUGUAGGUGGCUCGUUGCGUCGGGAGUGAAAACCUGCGGCUUAACCGCAGGCCUGCUUCCGAUACGGGCGAGCUAGAGUUCGGCAGGGGAGACUGGAAUUCCUGGUAUAGCGGUGGAAUGCGCAGAUAUCAGGAGGAACACCGGUGGCGAAGGCGGGUCUCUGGGCCGAUACUGACGCUGAGGAGCGAAAGCGUGGGGAGCGAACAGG
rnacentral:rRNA from 1 species